AAAUGCAUUACAGGGCAAGAUCUCCUUUGGCAGGAAACUAUUACUCCAUUCUUGCAUAUGCAUUUAUGUUUGUGGUAUAAACUCUCUGCCAAAGGAGAUUUGCCCGGUAAUUCUUUC
rfam:Brassica napus, WGS project CCCW01000000 data, contig: 18014